UCNCGUUGGUGAGGUAACGGCUCACCAAAGCAACGAUCAGUAGCUGGUCUGAGAGGACGACCAGCCACACUGGGACUGAGACACGGCCCAGACUCCUACGGAAGGCAGCAG
rnacentral:rRNA from 1 species